UACGUAGGGUGCGAGCGUUUGUCCGGAAUUAUUGGGCGUAAAGGGGCUCGUAGGCGGUCUGUCGCGUCGGGAGUGAAAAACUCAGGGCUUAACCCUGAGCCUGCUUCCGAUACGGGCAGACUAGAGGUAUGCAGGGGGAGAACGGAAUUCCUGGUGUAGCGGUGGAAUGCGCAGAUAUCAGGAGGAACACCGGUGGCGAAGGCGGUUCUCUGGGCAUUACCUGACGCUGAGGAGCGAAAGUGUGGGGAGCGAACAGG
rnacentral:rRNA from 1 species